rnacentral:rRNA from 1 species
CCUACGGGAGGCAGCAGUGGGGAAUAUUGGACAAUGGGCGAAAGCCUGAUCCAGCAAUGCCGCGUGAGUGAAGAAGGCCUUCGGGUUGUAAAGCUCUUUUACCCGGGAAGAUAAUGACCGUACCGGGAGAAUAAGCCCCGGCUAACUCCGUGCCAGCAGCCGCGGUAAUACGGAGGGGGCUAGCGUUGUUCGGAAUCACUGGGCGUAAAGCGUGCGUAGGCGGCCAUUCAAGUCAGAGGUGAAAGCCCAGGGCUCAACCCUGGAACUGCCUUUGAAACUAGGUGGCUGGAACACGGGAGAGGUGAGUGGAAUUCCGAGUGUAGAGGUGAAAUUCGUAGAUAUUCGGAAGAACACCAGUGGCGAAGGCGGCUCACUGGACCGUUGUUGACGCUGAGGCACGAAAGCGUGGGGAGCAAACAGGAUUAGAUACCCUGGUAGUCCACGCCGUAAACGAUGAUAACUAGCUGUUGGGGCUCUUUGAGCUCCACGUGGCGCGAGACUACGCAUUAAGUUAUCCGUCCGUCGGGUAGGUACGGCCGCGAACGGUUAAACGUACAAUAGUAAUAGACGGCGUGAGACGUCGCCGACGACGACGACGAGGGAGGUAGG